UCCUCAGGCUUGUAAUUUCAGCUUUUUCACCACCUCUCAAGACUGCAGGACUGUAAGAGACAAAAAUGCAUUCAGCUUUCUACUGAAGAUCACCACCAACAUUUCUACUCUAUUUCGGUGCAGCACAGAACUGCAGCUUCUGAUUCACUAAUACUUUAAACUGUCACUGGAUUCUACCUGGAGUAUCAGACUCAAGUUUUCAGUCUUCUGAUUGAUUCUGAGUUCUGAAAGUUUGGAGCUGUUCAGGACUGGAGUCUGAUACUUCUGGCUUAUACAGUACACAAGACAGUGUGAAAAAACAGGACUGGAAAACUUAACUUUCCUAGGGAUCGACCGGUGGCCGAGCUGAGAUUCGAACUCCGAGCUGGUGUGCUAGUGGACAAUUCCGACCAAAAAAAAGGACAUUCCAGCCAAUACAAGAUGGUUCCUAACCCUGUUAUACACACACCACAGCAGAAGAUUGUCUGAGAAUACAAUCAUUCAAGACUAGUCAGCCUGAUUAUCUUGCAGUGUGAGCCAUGCAUUUCUAACAUGCAGCCCCGCAGAAGGGGAGAGUGCAAACAGAAGUGAAGAGCCCCAUGGAAAAGAGAGGAGAAGCCGAAACACAGCAGAAUGUUAGUCGCAGGAGAAGGAAGGUGAAGGCAGCUCAGGCAGGUUGUCUCAUUUCACACAUACACACCCUCUGGAUGGAGCUUGGACAGAAGCGGGUUCUGAAGGCUGCGAGGGUUUGCAAGGAUCUGCUUGGCAGUAGUACGAGGAUUAAACUCCAACACUGAGUGAUAUGAGUCUGUGAUAAAGGACUCAGGAGCUUCAUGUAUUAGAAGAGCCUUGGCCGGAUAGCGGAGUUUGCAUAGUCAAAUGAAGCUCCGUGACACACACAGGAGUGGAGAUAAAAAAAGACAGCGGGGGGGCAUCUGCUACAGCUGACACGAGGGCAUUGGAGAAAGAUGACCCAUCUGUGCAGCCAACCAUCACAAAGCGAUGAUGGUGCCAGCACGGAACAUGUUUGUAUCUAGUUUUACUUCUGAUAGAGAUUCAGAACAUGAGGGAAGUAAAUUAUACAACUAUGCAAAUGAUCAUUUCCUUUUAAACAGUUGUAACAUGACGUUAUUUUGGUACUUUGUUGGUACUUGUUUUGUUAAAAGGCUCAAGUGCAAAAAUACUGCUGAAAAAUCAGUCAGUACAUGAAUUAUAUUCUAAAUCCACUUAAAUAUGUGUCUAGAAAAAUGAUAAUUAUAUAGGCUACAGGCAAACAUUUGUCUAACAUCAAACAUG